rnacentral:rRNA from 1 species
CAGUAGCCACGGGAAUACAGAGGGUGCAAGCGUUAAUCGGAAUUACUGGGCGUAAAGCGCGCGUAGGUGGUUUGUUAAGUUGGAUGUGAAAGCCCCGGGCUCAACCUGGGAACUGCAUCCAAAACUGGCAAGCUAGAGUACGGUAGAGGGUGGUGGAAUUUCCUGUGUAGCGGUGAAAUGCGUAGAUAUAGGAAGGAACACCAGUGGCGAAGGCGACCACCUGGACUGAUACUGACACUGAGGUGCGAAAGCGUGGGGAGCAAACAGGAUUAGAUACCCCGGUAGUUCCUGUCUCUUAUAC